rnacentral:misc_RNA from 1 species
GCGAUGAUGAGAGACGGAGAAUCUAGGAGAAUAAAGAAAAGGGUGUAGGAGGAAAGAAGGGGAAAGAUGGAGGGAGCGGGAAAUGCAGAAGGGGGAAGAGAAGGAAGAGAAACACAAGGAAAGAGAAGGGUCGGCCAUGGAUGAGAGCAUUAGGAAAGAAGAAUGGGAUUGGUGUAGGGAGAAGGAAGAAUCUGAAGAGGGU